CGCGACCCCAGGUCAGGCGGGGCUUACCCGCUGAGUUUAAGCAUAUCAA
rnacentral:rRNA from 1 species